AGGGGCGUCGCCAAGCGGUAAGGCACGGGACUUUGACUCCCGCACGCGUUGGUUCAAAUCCAGCCGCCCCUGCCA
rnacentral:tRNA from 1 species